CCUGGCAGGUAAUUUAAAGAGGUUCGUUUCAGACUCCAGGGGGUGCUGUGGCUUCCACCCUGGUUGCUAUGGCUGGGGUCAUGUUCACCCACACGACCGUGGCACAAAUCAUAGCCUCUCGGAGUGACCAGAAGGAAAGGAAGGACUUAGCUGCCAUGCAGGAGGGACCCUUGGUGAGCAGCAGCCUCCGGCUUGUUCCUGCACUGCGAUCCCAUUGUUGACCUCAUCCACGACAUUCAGAUUGUCUCCACCACCCCCGAGCUCUACUUGGAAGAUUCACCCUUGGAGCUGAAGAUCCAGGCUCUAGACUCUGAAGGCCCACGGCGGCAGUGGGAACUUUAGCCGAUCUUCGUCAAGCUACACGGUUGCCACAGUCACCAUCAAGGGCAUGAUGACCACAGGCAGUGACACUGGACUCAGCGUGAUUCAGGCACAUGACUUCCAGAACCCGCUCCACUUUGGCGAGAUG